rnacentral:misc_RNA from 1 species
GUGGGCGUGACAGCUGCAGGGU